CGCGUAGGCGGCCGCGCAAGUCAGUUGUGAAAUCCCCUGGCUUACCCAGGGAACUGCUUCUGAUACUGCGUGGCUUGAGUCCGGGAGAGGAGAGUGGAAUUCCCAGUGUAGCGGUGGAAUGCGUAGAUAUUGGGAGGAACACCAGUGGCGAAGGCGGCUCUCUGGACCGGUACUGACGCUGAGGCGCGAAAGCUAGGGGAGCAAACA
rnacentral:rRNA from 1 species